AGCGAACGCUGGCGGCAGGCUUAACACAUGCAAGUCGAGCGGGCCUUUCGGGGUCAGCGGCGGACGGGUGAGUAACGCGUGGGAACGUGCCCUCUGGUUCGGAAUAACUCAGGGAAACUUGAGCUAAUACCGGAUACGCCCUUUUGGGGAAAGGCUUGCUGCCGGAGGAUCGGCCCGCGUCUGAUUAGCUAGUUGGUGAGGUAACGGCUCACCAAGGCGACGAUCAGUAGCUGGUCUGAGAGGAUGAUCAGCCACACUGGGACUGAGACACGGCCCAGACUCCUACGGGAGGCAGCAGUGGGGAAUAUUGGACAAUGGGCGCAAGACUGAUCCAGCCAUGCCGCGUGAGUGAUGAAGGCCUUAGGGUUGUAAAGCUCUUUUAUCCGGGACGAUAAUGACGGUACCGGAGGAAUAAGCCCCGGCUAACUUCGUG
rnacentral:rRNA from 1 species